AUGCAUUUCAUUGACAAAAACAAACAAAAACCUUGCGAAGUCAAGAGUAACUUUCCUGGUUCCUUUUCAUCUUGUGUUAACCAAAGAGGCACAGGUGCACGUCUUUGCGGGCGAAGGCCUUACGGCGAGCACCGCGUUGGAACGGGAGGCGUAGGCGAGAGCUUGUGCGUAAGGAGCGACCCGACCCAGCAGGGGGCAGCAGUGGGAUGCCGGGUGCAAGUGGGAGGAGCUGAUGAAUGGAUGCAAAUGUCUACAAAGGAGUGGGACCUCAUCAGAAAGAUGAGGCGGAAAGGAAGGAUGAAUUAGAAAAAAUUCACUCUGUGUUCAUUAGGAUGUGUUCCCCUCACUCUCUCUUGUUCUGUCUCGACACCCGCCCUCCUGUGGAAUCUAACAUCCUCCAAUCGGGUUUUGUGUUGUUAAGGGGGACACCUUUUCUGCACCAAUAAGAACUAUAUAUGUGGACGCUGGUAUCAUAAUAUUCUGACAUGGGUACAAGUGAAAUCACCGCAGCCCAAGAGGCUAGUUUAGAGAUGCCUGACAGAGAUGUGGGGGACCCCUUGACAUGGCCUGGCCUCCCACAAACACUGCAGAGGCAGAGAAGCCAUGCAAGGGCCUGGAAGGAAGCCAACACUGUGGCAGUGCAGUAGUUAAAUUAUUAACAGAGAGCGAGAGAGAGAGAGAGGUGGAAAGAGUAAGAGAGACACAAAGAGAAGGAGAUAAUAGGAGAGAUGGGAGCAGAGAUUGGGGAACAGAAAUAGAAAAUAAAAAAUAGAGAGUCUGUUGGCA
rnacentral:lncRNA from 1 species